GGUUUGGCGCGUCGACGGCCCAGAGUCCGCGGCCGGGGCGCCCCGAGCACAGGAAUUGAGCGGCCAUGGCCUACCACAGCUUCCUGGUGGAACCCAUCAGCUGCCAUGCCUGGAACAAGGACCGCACCCAGAUUGCCAUCUGCCCCAACAACCACGAGGUGCACAUCUAUGAGAAGAGCGGGGCCAAGUGGGUCAAGGUGCAUGAGCUCAAGGAGCACAAUGGGCAGGUGACAGGCAUCAAUUGGGCCCCCGAGAGUAACCGAAUCGUGACCUGUGGCACAGACCGCAAUGCCUACGUGUGGACGCUCAAGGGCCGCACGUGGAAACCCACCCUCGUCAUCCUGAGGAUCAACCGGGCUGCUCGCUGUGUGCGCUGGGCCCCCCAGGAGAACAAGUUCGCUGUGGGUAGUGGCUCCCGUGUCAUCUCCAUCUGCUAUUUUGAGCAGGAAAAUGACUGGUGGGUGUGCAAGCACAUCAAGAAGCCCAUUCGUUCCACUGUCCUCAGCCUGGACUGGCACCCCAACAACGUGCUCCUGGCCGCAGGCUCCUGUGACUUCAAGCGCAGGAUCUUCUCGGCCUACAUCAAGGAGGUGGAGGAGCGGCCAGCACCCACCCCAUGGGGCUCCAAGAUGCCCUUCGGGGAGCUGAUGUUUGAGUCUAGCAGUAGCUGUGGCUGGGUGCAUGGCGUCUGCUUUUCGGCCAGUGGCAGCCGCAUGGCCUGGGUCAGCCAUGACAGCACCUUGUGCCUGGCUGAUGCCGACAAGAAAAUGGCUGUCGCGACUCUGGCCUCUGAAACGCUGCCGCUGCUGGCCCUGACCUUCAUCACCGACAACAGUCUGGUGGCAGCGGGCUACGACUGUUUCCCGGUGCUGUUUACCUAUGAUGGCACCACAGGGACGCUGAGCUUCGGCGGGCGGCUGGAUGUGCCCAAGCAGAGCUCGCAGCGCGGCCUGACGGUCCGAGAGCGCUUCCAGAACCUGGACAAGAAGGCGAGCUCGGAGGGCAGUGUGGCCUCGGGCGUUGGCCUGGACUCGCUGCAUAAGAACAGUGUGAGCCAGAUCUCGGUGCUCAGUGGGGGAAGGCCAAGUGCUCCCAGUUCUGCACCACAGGAAUGGAUGGUGGCAUGAGCAUCUGGGACGUGAAGAGCUUGGAAUCAGCCUUGAAGGACCUCAAGAUCAAAUGACCCAUGAGGCAUAGGUGUCCCUCAUCCCAGCUGCUGGGGGAGGGGGUCAGGGAGGCUAAGGAUUGCUUUGCUGAAUGUCUGUAGGGUAGCAGUCUGGGUCCCCCGGGACUGCUCCAGCCGGGGGGUGGGGGGGAGGGGAAGCUUUUCUGACCUAUUGAAGGAACAGGUGCCUUUUUCUUACAAAGAGCUGCUUUCAUUUGUUAAAAACAAAAAUGUUCUCAAAGCACUGUGCUGGUCAUGAGCUGCAACAACGUGGGUGUAAUAAAAAAGCAAUCUUAAAAAAAAAAAA